AUGGGAGGGAACGUUGGUCCAGGUAACGGAGUGAGGAGCCGUCGUAUAGGAUUGAAUGUAAUGGGGCUGGGGGGUUGGGGGCUGUUGUGGGGCUGGGGGGUUAUGGGGCUGGGGGGGUUGUGGGCUGGUUAUGGGCGUCAGGUUGUUGGGGCUGGUUGUGGGGCUGGGGGUGGUGUGGGGUUGGGGCUGGUUGUGGGCUGGUUAUGGCGGGGCCAGGAGUGGGGUAUGGGGCUGGAGGGGGGUUAUGAGGGCCAGGGGUUAUGGGUCAGAGGAGGAGGUAUGGAUGGAGAUUGGAGGUUGGUUAUGGGCUGGAGUGGGGUAGGGUGUGGUUGUUAUGGGCUGGGGUGGUUAUGGGGCUGUGUAUGGGUUGGAGUGUUGUGGUUGGCAGUGUUAUGGGGCUGGGGUGGGGUUGGAGGUUGUUAUGGGGCUGGAGGUGGUUAUGGGGCUGGUUAUGGGGUUGGAGGUUGUUGUGGGGUCAGACAUUGGAUGGGAUGGGGGUCAGUUGUUGGGGCUUGUGUUGUGGGCAGAUGGUAUUUGGGGUGGGUGGUGGUUGGGGCUGGUUGUGGGUUGAGGUUGUUAUGGGGCCAGGUGGUGGUUGAUGGGGCUGGUGAUAUGCGGCUGGAGGUGGUUGUGGGGCAGAACGAUGUGGCCAUGGAUGGGGCGCAGUUGUGGGGCUGGUUAUGGGUGGCGGGGGGUUGGGGGCUGGGGGUUGUAGGGCUGGGGUUGUAGGUAGUUGUGGGGUUGGAGAUGGUUGUGGGGUGGAGUGUAUGGGUCUGCGUUAUAUGCGGGUGCGGGUGGUGUGGGGUGUGAGGUUGUUAUGGGAGCUGGUUGUAGGGCAGGCUAUGAGGGUUGGGG
rnacentral:lncRNA from 1 species